rnacentral:rRNA from 1 species
UACGGAGGGUGCGAGCGUUGUCCGGAAUCACUGGGCGUAAAGGGCGCGUAGGCGGCAUGCCAAGCGUGUGGUGAAAGCCCGGGGCUCAACCCCGGGUCGGCCGUGCGGACUGGCGUGCUCGAGCACUGUAGGGGCGGGUGGAAUUCCGGGUGUAGCGGUGGAAUGCGUAGAUAUCUGGAGGAACACCGGUGGCGAAGGCGGCAUCCUGGACCGGUAUUGACGCUGAGGCGCGAAAGCCAGGGGAGCAAACGGG